rnacentral:tRNA from 1 species
GCCGACGUGGCGGAACUGGCCUACGCGUACGACUCAAAAUCGUAUGGGCGCAAGCCCUUGUGGGUUCGAAUCCCACCGUCGGCACCA